CACAAGGCCUCUCGCUUCCCUCCAAUCAAGCCCCUGCAGGGCUCAAACCAGCGCACCAGUUCUGCCCACAGGCACCGCAUCAAGGAACUCAACAGUCAAGUGUGGGAGCUACUGCAGCAGCUGAGUGGUGUCGCCACAGAGAACAAGUUGCUAAAAUAGCUCCAGGGCCGCCACGCGGUGGUGCUACAGCGCUUCCAGGAUUCACAGAGUGGCCUUCCCCGGGUUCUGGCCAAGCACGGAAACGCGAUGCGGGCUCUGCAGGGGCUCCAGUGUAAAGCCCGCAACCGCCGCAACUGUCUAUCCAGGCGUCUGAGGGGCACAAAGGAGGAGCUGCUGCGCACCAAGGACGCUCUGUACCGGCUGCAGCUGCUCAGCGAGGACUGCAGCCUGGAAGAGAGGGAAGAGCUGAGCCACAGGCUGGCCCUGAUCACUGUGGACCCUACACAGGAAGAACAAGAGGAUACAGGACUUAGAAAGGAAUCUUGAGCUGAGACAGAUAUCCUUCAAUCACUCUCUUGCCACAGAAACAAGGAAGACCAAUGAAUCCAGAGAGCUGUCUGAUUACCUCCAGGCACAGAUCAAUCUGUUGACCAAAAAAAUCUAAGAAAGAGAGAGAGAAUUGGAGAUCCACAAAAUCUACUCACAUAGAUUUCCAAAAGGCUGGAACAGAAAAGGAGCAAGAGAAACUAAAUCUGUUCAAACAGAUGACAUAUCCUCUCUCCCCAUCGAGGCUCCGUGCCAAUUUGAACUAGUCUAUGCCUGUUCACUCCAGCAUCCGAAGUUGGAGAAGCAGAAGAGUUUGAGCUGGGAGUCCUUUGCAAUUGGCUUCCCAGACAGAAGUGACACAGCAGACCUGUUAGUGGAUGACAGAGGAUCAUACGAUAAUGAACAUUUUGCUGACGAUGGAGAGCUGCAUGGUGAUUAUGACAAGGAGGAUCCACAACUUUAGGGUGAGGAGUAUUGCCUUGCAGAGGAGGCAGCGAGUUCCCUCAAGGCUUCAGAAGGAGUGCAAACAGAGCCAUUUGAAAGCCAGGUCCGGUACACUCUGGAUGACUUUCAGAAUACAGAACGUGCCAACAUGGCCCUCAAAUCCCCUCCCAGGACCAAGCACCUCUACACAUUCAAAGAAACCAUCCAGAACCUACACAGUGGGAAGCCUGCCUAUGCCAGCCAUAGCCAAAGCCUGAGAAAAAGCCCUCCUAAAUACAUCAAGAGCCAGGCCAGGGUGGAGAACCUGGGGUCUAGGGCGUAUGAGCCCUCCUUCACUCUACCAGCAGAGAAGUGCCAAAGGCGUGACACCAUGGACCCUCAACCCGGAAGAUGGCGUAGUCCGCAGCAAGAAGAGUAUCUUGAUGAAAGAGCUUUUUGGCCAGGCCCUAAUCACUGAUCCAAAUGGCCAUGCAGACAGGCAGAUCCAGA
ensembl:lncRNA